UACGUAGGGUGCAAGCGUUGUCCGGAAUUAUUGGGCGUAAAGAGCUCGUAGGCGGUUUGUCGCGUCGAAUGUGAAAACCCGGGGCUCAACCCCGGGCCUGCAUUCGAUACGGGCAGACUAGAGUUCGGUAGGGGAGUCUGGAAUUCCGCGUGUAGCAGUGAAAUGCGUAGAGAUGCGGAGGAACACCGAUGGCGAAGGCAGCCCCCCUGGGCUAACACUGACGCUCAGGCACGAAAGCGUGGGGAGCAAACAGG
rnacentral:rRNA from 1 species